rnacentral:lncRNA from 10 species
AGUACAGUGUUCUGCCCUGACACAGCCAAGGCCAAGGGCAGUGCAGGCACAGCCACCGUGACUCUCUGCUGGGAGGUUAACAGCUCCAUCAGUUCAGGGACUGCCUGACCCAGCCUGACCAAAUUAGAGCAAGAGAAAGAAUUGUGCCAUGAAAAAUGGAAAACUCCUGAGAAGCUGUUCCAGCGUCAGGAGAGCAGCAGACAAGCUGGACUGGGGAAGAUUCUUCCUGCAAGACCUGCAGAGUGUAUGACACAUAACCAGCACCCAAGAAAUGUCUACCGAGGAAUUAAUGAAUGAGGGUCCCAUACUUCCUAGCCAUGCUGUUGGCAGGGAUUAACAUCAUUGCAAUUCUCUGGGUAGACCUUGGGAGGUUUAAACCAACCAGUGACCCCUAUCAUCCUAGCUCCAGAGAUUGGCUUAGGGAUAGUCACCCAAUGCAGGCCAAUGCAAGGUGACUUUGCCAGGGGCUUCUGGGAAAGAAGUUUCCUUUCUCUGAGGAAAUGUGAAUGAGGACAUCCAUAACUCAGGUUGUGUCUGGCAGCCAUCUUGUGAUCAUCUGGCAAGACAGCCCAAGAAUAAAGCCGUCACCAUGGAGACUAAGAAGAGACAGAAAGACACUGGGUCUUCAUUGUCUCGUCCAGCUGUUCAUGAGGCCUUAUCUGAAGCCCACGUGACCUCCGGACUACUCACUUACAUGAGAGAAUAAAGCUCUUUUUUGUUUAGACCAAAUAAAUACAUAAUACAAUUACAUAAUCCCUUGAUUCCUUUUUAUGACUGAGCUCAGAGACUAUAUUUUGUCAUUUUAAAUCACCUUUGUCUUACAGUUUAUUUAACUGAAACAAAUAAACAAACCAAAACACGCCAGUUUUUCACUCCUCUGUCAAAGCCUUUCCAAGAUCACUAAGCUUGUGAUGUCCUGGGUGAAUGAAGAAGUAACAGUGUUUUCAACAACAUAGAAGCUUAUUUCUCUCUCAUAUAAAAGAAGGCUGGAGUCUGGCUGGUAUGGGAGAUACAGCAUCAUCAAAGUUUUAUCUUUUCGUCCUGCCAUCCUUAGAAUAUGGCUUUCAUCUUCAAGAUCACUUCCUAAGCUAUGAGGAUGCAAAGGUAUAAGAAUGACAUAGCGGACUUUGGGGACUCGGUGUGGGGAGAAGUUGGGAGGGGUGAGGGAUAAGAGACUACAUAUUGGGUACAGUGUACACUGCUCUAAAAUCUCAGAAAUCACCACCAAAGAACCUAUCCGUGGAAUCAAAAACCACCUAUACCCCCAAAACCACUGAAAUAAAACUAAAAAUUAAUUAAAAAAAAAAACAACAUAA